GGCAACCCUGAUCCAGCCAUGCCGCGUGUGUGAAGAAGGCCUUAGGGUUGUAAAGCACUUUCAGUAGGGAGGAAGGCCCAGUAGUUAAUACCUGCAGGGAUUGACGUUACCUACAGAAGCAGCACCGGCUAACUCCGUGCCAGCAGCCGCGGUAAUACGGAGGGUGCAAGCGUUAAUCGGAAUCACUGGGCGUAAAGCGCGCGUAGGCGGUUUGUUAAGUGAGAUGUGAAAGCCCAGGGCUCAACCUUGGAACUGCAUCUCAUACUGGCAGGCUAGAGUACGGUAGAGGGGGGUAGAAUUCCA
rnacentral:rRNA from 1 species